rnacentral:rRNA from 1 species
AACGGAGGGGGCAAGUGUUAUUCGUAUUGACUGGGUGUAAAAUGUAUGUAGAUGGUUUCUUCUGUUUAAUAUUAAUUCUAAUACGAAUAAUAUAGUAAAAUAUUAAAUACAAUUUAACUUGAGUUUAUAAGAAAGAAAUAGUACUUUAAAUGUAAAAAGUGAAAAAGUAAAAAAUAUUUAACGGACUAACAAUAGGCGGAAAGCAGUUU